rnacentral:lncRNA from 1 species
CUGGAACAAAAUAACCCCUUCCCCACCACCCGAACGAAAUGCGUACACGAAAUAGCAAAUAGAUCACUGCAGAAAUCACAAACUCAACAGCCUAAACGCGCACUGGACAGAGCUGUCCCGCGGCCAGGGGCGGCAAGGCGGGAAACACACGCACACCUGGCUAUAAAUUAACAUUGGCUUUAGCUGUCGCGCCAAUUGGCGCGGCCAGCACCCCCCCCCCAAAAAAAAGCCAGAGGAAAACAGAAGCAAUACGACUGGGGGUGGAGGCAUUGCAGUUCUUGGGGGCGGGCAACCUCACUCAGUUCUCGAUUAAUAGCAAACUAACAAGACAUUUUCAACUGCAACAGAAGAACCUAGGAAUCCGGGAAGAGGAAGGGGCCGCGGUUUCUCCGCAAACACCACAGCGAUUCCCAGCCAGAGGGGGAGGGAGGGGCAGUGGUCAGAAGCCAGCGGCUCUAGCAAGUCCCAUUUCCGCUGCUCGGGACUUCUCGCUUUUGUACAAAACCCCGACAGUUACGGCCAAACUUUCGGUCCUCCUCAUCUUCGGUACAAGGCAACGGUCCCAGGCGAGCAAAGCUAAACAGCAAGGCGUCCCAACGUGGGGGGUGUGGGGCGGGGUGGGGGCGAAGAGCUGGGAGCGCGGGCCGGAGCUCAGAUGUGGGUCAGCGGCACCGUUCCAUUGACCGCAGUCCCGGCGCCCUGGUAGUGCUGGUGCACGCCGUGCAGCCGGCCGCCUGGGAGCGGAGAAGCGGCGUCGGCCGCGUCCCCGCCAGGUGGCAGCCUUUCUGACCGAAGGCUGGAGAAGCAGAGUGGGACCUUCAGGCACUUUGUUGGGUUAUCUGCCAAGGACUACC